GAUGAAGAACGCAGCGAAAUGCGAUAAGUAGUGUGAAUUGCAGAAUUCAGUGAAUCAUCGAAUCUUUGAACGCACAUUGCGCCCCUUGGUAUUCCAUGGGGCAUGCCUGUUCGAGCGUCAUUUGUACCUUCAAGCUCUGCUUGGUGUUGGGUGUUUGUCUCGCCUCUGCGUGUAGACUCGCCUCAAAACAAUUGGCAGCCGGCGUAUUGAUUUCGGAGCGCAGUACAUCUCGCGCUUUGCACUCAUAACGACAGCGUCCAAAAGUACAUUUUACACUCUUGACCUCGGAUCAGGUAGGGAUACCCGCUGAACUUAUGCAUAUCAAUAAGCGGAGUA
rnacentral:misc_RNA from 1 species